rnacentral:rRNA from 1 species
UACGUAGGCAGCGAGCGUUGUUCGGAGUUACUGGGCGUAAAGCGUGCGUAGGCGGUGGUCCAAGUCUGGUGUGAAAGUCCAGGGCUCAACCCCGGGAGGCGGAUGGAUACUGCAAGGCUCGAGUCCGGAAGAGGCAAGUGGAAUUCCCGGUGUAGCGGUGAAAUGCGCAGAUAUCGGGAGGAACACCAAUGGCGAAGGCAGCUUGCUGGGACGGUACUGACGCUGAGACGCGAAAGCGUGGGGAGCAAACAGG